rnacentral:rRNA from 1 species
UACGUAGGUGGCAAGCGUUGUCCGGAUUUACUGGGCGUAAAGAGCGCGCAGGCGGCUGGGCAAGUCCGAUGUGAAAGCCCCGGGCUUAACCUGGGAAUGGCAUUGGAAACUGGCUGGCUGGAGUGUGGCAGAGGGGGGUGGAAUUCCACGUGUAGCAGUGAAAUGCGUAGAGAUGUGGAGGAACACCGAUGGCGAAGGCAGCCCCCUGGGCCAACACUGACGCUCAGGCACGAAAGCGUGGGGAGCAAACAGG